rnacentral:rRNA from 1 species
GAUGAACGCUAGCGACAGGCUUAACACAUGCCAGUCGAGGGGCAGCACAGGUAGCAAUACCGGGUGGCGACCGGCGCACGGGUGAGUAACGCGUAUGCAACUUACCUAUCAGAGGGGGAUAACCCGGCGAAAGUCGGACUAAUACCGCAUGAAGCAGGGGUCCCGCAUGGGGAUAUUUGCUAAAGAUUCAUCGCUGAUAGAUAGGCAUGCGUUCCAUUAGGCAGUUGGCGGGGUAACGGCCCACCAAACCGACGAUGGAUAGGGGUUCUGAGAGGAAGGUCCCCCACAUUGGUACUGAGACACGGACCAAACUCCUACGGGAGGCAGCAGUGAGGAAUAUUGGUCAAUGGCCGAGAGGCUGAACCAGCCAAGUCGCGUGAGGGAUGAAGGUUCUAUGGAUCGUAAACCUCUUUUAUAAGGGAAUAAAGUGCGGGACGUGUCCCGUUUUGUAUGUACCUUAUGAAUAAGGAUCGGCUAACUCCGUG